CACUCGGUGGCAUAUGGUGUGUGCCUGCUUCGCUUGGUUGAUCAGUAACGGUUAUGCAGGAGGUCCUGGUUCGAUUCCGGGUCGGGUGA